GUUUGCGCGCCAUGGGCGCGCUCUAACGGGUGUAAGUCCCGAACAUGCCCAGGUAGUGGGAAAUGUAUAGCCGAACAGCAAGGGUGUCUACUGUGAGGUGGAAUCUGAAGGAAGCUGUAAGCGAAUCUCUGGUCCGACGGACAGAAAUCGCAUAUAAGGCUAGGCUUCGAGUGAUAAGCUGGCAAAGAACAGUGAAGUCUAAUAACUACCACGUUUGUAGAAGCAGAGUAAAUGCGGCGGAUAUAUGGAGAGAAAGAGCGUGCACCUUAAGCGUGGAGGUCUCACAGAGGUUUCAUUAGCCUAGUAACAACGAACUGUGAGAAGUCAGCCGAGCCCAUAGUAGUGAAGAAGUCUCUGUAAUGGGGAUGGAGCGAAGGGGCGAACAAUCAUUCAGUUUGAGAAUGUCUCGUAUUGCAGAAAUGACAACAUCUGCCGUAACCAAUCGGGUAAAAGGUGGUCAAAUCAAGCGAGACGGAAAGGAAAGAACGCAUGGACACAAGUAAUCUAAUUUCGGUUAGAUUACUACAUCGAAAAGUGUGUUACUUGUUAAGUUGAUUGAACCGCCGUAUACGGAACCGUACGUACGGUGGUGUGAGAGGUCGGAAUUUCUCAAUUAAGAGAAAUUCUUCCUACUCGAU
rnacentral:misc_RNA from 1 species